GCUUGCAUCGGGGAUUAGUGGCGAACGGGUGAGUAACACGUGAGUAACCUGCCCUUGACUCUGGGAUAAGCCUGGGAAACUGGGUCUAAUACUGGAUACGACCAUUCCACGCAUGUGGUGGUGGUGGAAAGCUUUUGUGGUUUUGGAUGGACUCGCGGCCUAUCAGCUUGUUGGUGGGGUAAUGGCCUACCAAGGCGACGACGGGUAGCCGGCCUGAGAGGGUGGACGGCCACACUGGGACUGAGACACGGCCCAGACUCCUACGGGAGGCAGCAGUGGGGAAUAUUGCACAAUGGGCGCAAGCCUGAUGCAGCGACGCCGCGUGAG
rnacentral:rRNA from 1 species